rnacentral:tRNA from 1 species
GCUAAGUUAGUUUAUUUAAAAUGCCAGCCUGUGGAUUUGGAGAAGAAAGAUAGUAUUUCACCUAGCC